rfam:Triticum aestivum genome assembly, contig: Triticum_aestivum_CS42_TGACv1_scaffold_225985_3B
CUUCUACUCCCUCCAUUCCAAAAUUCUUGUCUUAGAUUUGUCUAGAUACGGAUGUAUCAAGUCACGUUUUAGUAUUAGAUACAUCCGUAUCUAGACAAAUCUAAGACAAGAAUUUUGGGACGGAGAGUAUCUG